rnacentral:rRNA from 1 species
GACGUAGGGUGCAAGCGUUGUCCGGAUUAUUGGGCGUAAAGAGCUCGUAGGCGGCUUGUUGCGUCGACUGUGAAACCCGCGGCUUAACUGCGGGCUUGCGGUCGAUACGGGCAGGCUAGAGUUCGGUAGGGGAGACUGGAAGUUCCUGGUGUAGCGGUGAAAGUGCGCAGAUAUCAGGAGGAACACCGGUGGCGAAGGCGGGUCUCUGGGCCGAUACUGACGCUGAGGAGCGAAAGCGUGGGAGCGAACAGG